GGUGGCUCUGUGGUAGAGUGCUUGCCUCGCAUGCAUGAAGCCCUGGGUUCGAUUCCUCAGCACCA
rnacentral:tRNA from 1 species